rnacentral:rRNA from 1 species
UACGUAGGGACCGAGCGUUGUCCGGAAUCAUUGGGCGUAAAGAGCGUGUAGGCGGCUUGUUAAGUCUUGCGUGAAAUCUCGGGGCUCAACCCCGAGCGGUCGUGAGAAACUGGCAGGCUAGAGUGCGGGAGAGGAGAGUGGAAUUCCUGGUGUAGCGGUGAAAUGCGCAGAUAUCAGGAGGAACACCGGUGGCGAAGGCGGCUCACUGGCUCAUUACUGACGCUCAGGCGCGACAGCGUGGGGAUCAAACAGG